rnacentral:misc_RNA from 1 species
GAUGAAGAACGCAGCGAAAUGCGAUAAGUAAUGUGAAUUGCAGAAUUCAGUGAAUCAUCGAAUCUUUGAACGCACAUUGCGCCCGCCAGUAUUCUGGCGGGCAUGCCUGUCCGAGCGUCAUUUCAACCCUCGAACCCCUCCGGGGGGUCGGCGUUGGGGAUCGGGAACCCCUAAGACGGGAUCCCGGCCCCGAAAUACAGUGGCGGUCUCGCCGCAGCCUCUCCUGCGCAGUAGUUUGCACAACUCGCACCGGGAGCGCGGCGCGUCCACGUCCGUAAAACACCCAACUUCUGAAAUGUUGACCUCGGAUCAGGUAGGAAUACCCGCUGAACUUAAGCAUAUAAUAAGCGGAGGA